rnacentral:sRNA from 12 species
CAUGAUUAGUUUAGCUAGGAUUGUUUAGAGGGUAGUCGCAGUCGCCCCAACUCCGAUUCACAAACUAUUUUUAUUGGUCUUGUGAGUAGGGUGAGAAACAACAUCUUGUUGGAAACUUUAAUCUUUUUUUAAAAAAUAAGGAACUGU